GUCGCUGUGCGACGAGGAACGUGGGUUCGUUAGAUCAAUGAAUUAGUUGAGCCUUCCAAGCUGAUGACGAGGGUUCGAUUCCCUUCACCCGCUCCA
rnacentral:tRNA from 1 species